GGAACCUUCCAGAAAGCUCAAUAUACUCAUACCCCACCCCCUACCCACAGGACCCCUCUUCAUCAUAUUUCUUUCCACUUUUGGACAUAAUAUAUAUACAGAGAGGAAACAAGAAAGUGGGGUGGAGGGGAGAAACAUUUUUUCUUCUUGGCUUUCUUCUCCAAAGGAAACCAAAUAUUCCAUUUUUUACUCUCACCAAAACACACAAACCUUCUUCUCCAAAACCCCUACACAGAAACACUCUGAGAGAUAUAGAGGAGGGAGACGAAAGAGAGAUCGGAGUUAAAGAAAAAUCGAGGGAGAGAGGAAAAACAAAAAGAAAAAUCAGCAGAUCGAGAAAGGAGCACCGUUUUUCGUUUGGGUCAUUGUUCCGGCGACAAUAGGCUAGAUCUAAGCCUUUUUCGGCGAAUCCUUCGCCGGAAUCGAUUAUUAUUUCAGUCAGAUUAAGGUACUAAGAGUUCAAAUCCCGUCCUAGUCCCGUAAUCCCACAAAGUUUUUCUUAGUUUUCUUGGAGUUUUAGUCGAGAUUCCACCGGAAAAGGUUAAGAGCGCCUGAAUCCGAGUGGUUUUUGUCCGUUCUUGUUCAUUUGAGCAAACCGUAGCUCAAGUUAUCUUAUUCUUUUGGUUCUGUCGCGUAUCGAGGUUCUGGGGUUCUUCUGAGUUUUAUGUUCCGUCGCCAAAAACAGGUUUUAGGAAUUCAUUGCUCCUGGUGGGUAUCAUUGGUGUGGGCUAGACUUCGUAAUCCCGAUUUUGUUGUUCAUCAAGUCUGUUCGGGAAUUUGUUCUGUUCCAAUUGAAAUUGGGGUCAUCGUUAUUCUGGGAAUGUCAUUCGUGUGAUUUGGAGAGUAGAGGUUUUACUGGUGUUCUUUGAGGUUAUCGGAGCGACUCUUAUUUCUCUUCGUAAAUCGUCAAAUAUACACUAAAGGAUGGAUCUGUCCACAAAGUCUAGAGUUCUUAUGGUUGUCAAGGUACCCAAAAAGUUGAUCAAGUGGUGGGGCACGUUCAAUUACUCUGAAAAUCAUGAAGUGAGGAAAGUGUUAGGCAAUCUUGUAGCACUCAUGGAUCUCACACCUCAUCCGGAUCUAAUAGAAGCUGCGUUGAAUUUUUGGGAUCCAAAUAAUUUGGUAUUUAGGUUCGGAAGUUGUGAAUUGACUCCUACCCUGGCAGAAGUGUCUCGUUUGUUUUGGUUGACUUAUAUGGGUCAGCAGAUGAUUUUAGCCCGCAAUCAUACUCGUAAGAAAUUCCUUCGACUCUGUGGAUUAAAAUAUAACAAGCAUCUGGGAUGUCUCAAACAAUUUUGGAUUUCCUUGGACUAUUUCUUUGCUAGAUUUGGGUCCUUAGAGGGUUUCGACUUCUUUUGGGAUGAAUUCUGUACUACCAAAAAAAUUUGGGAACAACGUCGUCUUGAGGUUUGCUGUCUAGCUUUGUUGGGCAUCUUAGUGUUCCCGUUAGAUGAGAGGUGUAUCAAUACUCGUCUACAAUCAGUGGUGAUAGCUUUAUUCGAGAAAAAAAAUGGGGUCACCAUUGUACCAAUGAUCUUAACAGAAAUAUAUAAGGCUUUAACUGAAGUAAAAUGAGGGGUACGAUUUUUUGAGGGGAGUAAUCUGAUAUUGCAGUUGCGGAUGAUGGAGCACUUGCAUACGCCUUCUUUGAUUAAAACAGAUGUGAUUGACCGUUGUCUGAAUGAUCGAGUGCAAGCCAUGUAAGAGAGAAUGCGUUUUGACAAAUUUUCUUUUCCUAUGAGAGUCAAUUCCUGGAUCGAAUUUCUCGAAUCAAGAACUCCGAACAACAUUCUUUGGUGCUAUAUGUGGUUUCGUCCUAAGAAAAUCUUGAUUGGACCUCAAA